rnacentral:rRNA from 1 species
UACGUAGGGUGCAAGCGUUGUUCGGAAUCAUUGGGCGUAAAGCGCGUGUAGGCGGUUAGAUAAGUCAGAUGUGAAAUCCCUAGGCUCAACCAAGGAAGUGCAUUUGAAACUAUCUAGCUAGAAGAUGAUAGAGGAAGGUGGAAUUCCAAGUGUAGAGGUGAAAUUCGUAGAUAUUUGGAGGAAUACCGGCGGCGAAGGCGGCCUUCUGGGUCAUACUUGACGCUGAGACGCGAAAGCGUGGGUAGCAAACAGG